rnacentral:tRNA from 1 species
GGAGCUGUGGCUCAAUUGGUAGAGCACUUCCCUUGAACUGAAGAGCUCAGGGACAGCACCC